CUUUUUAUUCAAUAAUAAUAAUACAAAGAUGACUGAUCCAAACAAUUUUAAGCUCAAACACAAUGUUAUAAGGUAAGAUAAGAACUAAUGUCACAAUAUUACAGGUAAAUCGUUUUUUUUCUUCCUGUUUUUCAAUUUUUAUCACUAUAAUAUUUUCUAUUCCAAAUCUUUAAGAUCCUCAUCCAUUGGUAUGGUAUAGAAGAAGUGUUCAAUUUGCUCGACUGCAUUAUCCUCGCCCUGUGUCUUGUUUCCUCUCUUUAUUGGAGCUAGGCUCUCCUUGUAAUUGAAAACCCAACAGCCAGCAAUGUUAAGGUCCAGCUGAAAUCCAAGAUCUGUAACUUGUCUUGUUGUAGGGUCAUAUAGCACCAGCUGUGAAGUUUCUGUGAUCUCAAAAACCAUGUUAUCGUUAUCCCAGAUGUUGCGAGGCCAAUGAGCAUCUAUAUGAGGUUGUACAGUUAGAACUUUGGACCAAAUUCCCUCUUGUUCAUACCCACACAUCAUAUAUGGAUGUCAUAGGUUUGCCAGGGUCACCGGUUAAUAAAGCAAGUGAGUUGCCACGCAAUGUAAGCGUCCCCCAAUGUUCACUUGGAAUAUCUGGGACUUGCAUCUCCCUAAACUGUUCGCUGCCCAUGUCAAAAGAGCGAAUCGUGUAGAUCUCAUCAAGGCCCCUAGAAAGCCAAUAAUAAACCCCGUUGAGAUAAGUGGCAUCAAGGGGUGCAGAUAAGGUAGAACUGGAAGGGAAUUCAGGAGUUAGGUGUUUCCAUGAGUUGUUGCAUGAGGAAUAAACACAGGCAUAGACACGAGGACAAACACCUUGUCCCGGUUCAUCCCAGAAUACUCGAAUCCAUACAACCUUAUAAUCUUGAGUCAACAGGUCAAAUCCCAAUCCGAACUGAUGAUCAUGGUCCGAGAAAAAGUACUCAAUCUCAAAAGGCGCAGGCGGCAGAGACCUGAACUCUCUGGUGGCAGGAUUCCACAAACCCAAGCAGACAUUGUCUCCAUAAAACUUCUUCUGCACUAAGAAUAAGCCAUCAACUGGACCAGCAACACACGUGAAAUCAGCGACCCUCGGAAGCUGAAGGAGAGUUUUUUGUUCAGGGGUCACACCUGGAACAAUUUCUUCAGGGAGCAAGGAGAAUACAACAGACCUUACGAUGGCGUCUACUUCACGUGCUACUUUCAAGUUGCAAACAAGGAGACGGGCACGAUUGUUCUUGUGAUGAAAAUGUUUUUCUAUGAAACUCGGACUUUUGAUGAGAGCAUACCAGUGCUUGCACACACAUUUGAAAAGCAAGAGUGAUUCCACUGGCAAUCUCAAUAGAAUAUCAACUACUAGAUCUUCUGGUAAAGGACAGCGACCAUCCAUACUGGUGGAAAUAUAAGUAGAAUGAGGCAACUUACAAACAUAUUGAAAGAGAGCAGAUCUAGAAAACAUGCAUUAAUAGAACACACAGUGCAACAAAAAAGAUCAAGUAGUAGCAUUACCAUGUGAAGCAAAAAAGGGGAAGUUACAAAUUUGACCACUCAGCCACAAAUAUUUACAUCCGCAAGCCAUUACACAUAUAUUAUGGGUAUACAUAUUUUUAAAAAUAUUUUGACAAAUCUUCUUGUAGAUCAAUUUUGGAGAAAAGAUCCAAAAUAGUUCCUUAUGUUUGGCUUCAGACUCAAGGUCAUCCCUUCCCUUUCUUUUAUAUGGUGCACUAAUAGUCCUUUAAGUUUCAAGUAUUAGUGCACUUUUAAUCUCUUCAUUAACAUCCAUUUACUCAUUAACGUUUUGAUCCUUUACACAUCCAUUUAUGGCCUCCGCUGUAUACGUUCUGGUAUAACACAAAUUAAUUCUUAGAUUUAUCUUAGCAGUUGCAGAUGAGUCUUCAUUUGUACUUGUUUUAUUUUUUGGCUCUGCAUCUUUCAUUGUUUGGUGUGCACCAUUCAAGAUUUGCUAAUUCUUUAACUUUCUCCUCUAUUUUCCAUACGCAAUUAAUAAGCUGACUAUAAGUCUUUGGGUUUUCCUGAAUAAAAGCUGACUAUAUAUCUGAAACAUAACCAAAGAAUAAAAUAAAAACAAGAAAAAAGGAAAAAUAUAAUACAUACUUAGUCUUCGUGUAUCAAUAUCUCAAAUUAGCAUCGGAUAAAAGUGCACUAAUACUUAAAACUUUGGAGGACUAUUAGUGCACCAAUUGAUGAUUUCGAAUCUAAAGCCAAAAAUAAAGGACUAUCUUGUAUUUUUUCUUUCGAUUUGGGCUGAUAUGGUUUGGACGGAUCAAUAAUCAGCCAAAUAGAGUCAAUAAGAGGAGACUAGUAAAGAAGUAGUCAUGCGGUUUUCUAGUCUUUUCAUUAACUAGUCAAUAAUUAUUUUUAAAGCUACAUAUCAAGUUAGCAUAUAGAGCAAUUUUGCAGGUAAUUUAAGGAUUAAGGAGCAUGAAACAGUAAUUACCCUUUUCUACUAAUAUCAAUCUACAAAUCCUUGGAAAUGGAACAAUUUUAACUUGCCCAAUAUUGAAAUGUAAAAGAUGGAAAGAAAUAAAAAGAAUUAGCAUAAACAGAAACAAUGACAGCAAAACCCUAUAUCCAUCCCCAAAUAGCACAAAUUCAGAUUCAGAUUCAGAUUCAAAUUCAAAAAAAUAAUCAGAAAUCUAACCUUAUAAGCUGAUGAAGAAGAAGUGCCGCAAUUACGACAAGGUAAAAAUGGAAAAAGAGAUUGGAUUGAUUGAGUGGUGUUGUAGAAAUACCUCCAACAGUUGACUACUUCCUCACUUUCCUACACUUCUUUUGUCAUUUUAGUUUAUAUAACUCCCCUUAAUUCCUUUUAUCCAAGUUUUUAAUACCAAGGGAUAUGAUGGAGUAAUAAGUACUUAUUCAUUGUUAAUUAGAGGUCUUGGAUUUGAAUCUUUUGGCUAUGAAGUCAUCCGUGUUAGGGAGCACUUUACCCAUAAUGUGAGAUUUUUCGACUGGGCUCUAAUAUGGAUACCGAACAUUGAGCGAUUUUUCUUUUUUUACCUUAGUGGUCAUUUGGUAGGUGGAUAAAGCUACAUCUAAUACAUGAAUCACUACAAGAAAAGUGCUGAUUACCUGGGAAUUAUUGUAGAGAAUAUAUGAUAACCCUAAUGGGUGGAGGGAGGACCAAUUUAUAGAGGUUAUGAUUUAAUCUGGUAUAUCCAUCAAGUAACCAAUGUACGGACGAGAUCUAUUCCUUAUUAAAUAUUAUUUAUGGUAUUACUUGCGUUACUAGUAAACUUGAGCCAUAAGUAAGAAAUAAUUAAUAAUAAUUAAUAAUAAUUCUUACACUUCGGGGUGCCUUCGCCAUAGUUCAAGUCUGGAGUCGGCCAUUUCAGUUCUUGAAAGCUUUUAAUCUAGCUAGUGUUAUUCAUAGUACUUCCGUGUACUUAUCGACCUUAUGUGAGUCCAAACUCGUUUGAGUUAUACAUUUACUUUCUAAUUGUGCACGAGUAUACAUACUUUCUAGGCUUAUAGAGGUCCAGUUAGGUUAUAGAUUAUUGCUUUACUUUACUACUUCGUUCUUUUCAGACUCGUGAGCUAUAUAGUUAGACUUUCCGUUAUUGCUUUGUUCAUUUGACCUCUAAUUACUGUUACUUUCAUAUUCUUCAUAUUGUUUUUACUUUCCAAGUUCAGUUGACCUAUGAUGCCUACUGGACACCUGUUGUUCUGAUAUUCAUGCUACACUCCACAUCUGUUUUCUUGAUGUGGAUUUGAGCGCCAGCCGACAACGGUGAUUGGAGCCUAAGUAAUGCGGAGAUCUUCUGAGAUGAAUGGUGAGCUAAUGGCGUCCUAGUUCGACUUAUCUCCAUAUGUAUAUAAUUUUUUACAUGUCUUUUGUAUUCGAGACAAAUUUAUUAAGUUAGUCAAUAGCAUAGGCUCGAAACUAUGACUAGAACAUUGAGUGCAUGACAUGCACAUCUUACUCCUUACUUUCCUUAUUCGUGCCUGUUUUUUUCAUACUUUCUAACUUUCACUAGUACAUUAUCCCUUGUUAAGGAAAAUUAUGUAAACAAAAUAGUAAAUGGCCUGAUCCACUUAAGAGUGAGGGCUAGUUCAUUGAUUGAUACAGCUAAAUCACAUUAAAUAAUAAAUACGGAGGAGGGCCUAAAAUACCCUUCAAGUAUAGGUAAUGGAACAAAAAUACCCUCUUCCACCUUUAGGCUCCAAAAUACCCUUCCAUCCAUCUAUAUGGACCUAUAUUACCCUUUCACUUAACAGAUUCUUUAAGACUAAUAAUUAAUCUUUUCAUUAAUGAUGUGACAGUCUUUAAUUGGUUGAAAUUGGAAUUAACCAAAAUAAGAAUUUCUCUUAAUUAAACCCAGAUCCAACUAAAUUCCACCCGACUCACUUAAAAUUCUAUUGACCCAUAUCUUAAAUAAUCAAACUUCAAUCAACAACUUGCUCCAGUUAUUUUUAAUCCCAGUCAAAAAAGAGGUACAUUAGACCAUAAACAACAUGAAACUUCCGAAAAUUCCCUGGAAACAUUCCAAGAAGGAAGAAGUGAAAUACAAGAUCAAGUGCCACUAUAAUCAUAUACCAAUAUACACCAUAUUUUGAAACACUAUGAAAAGUCCAGCAAAUCUCCAAUCUCUGGGAAACAUAAACUCAAAGCGGUAAAAUUUCUCAAAAUCCGAAACCCUAGAGUUCAAAAAUUAUUUCACUUCUUUCUUUUUUGCGAUUCAUAUAAAGCACCGCACGCAAAAAGCAAAACCAACAUAAUUUUGGGAAAUUCUCAAAGCAGAAUCAUGGAAUAGAAUAUAAAAAAAAAAUAAAAAAUUUAGCCAUAGCAAGAGAUUAUAUACUUGAUGAAGAAAAGCGAUAGAUAUCGCUUUUCUUCAUCUGCAAAUUUUACGAGAAAAUUAUAUGGAGAGAAAUUCAGUGUACAGAGAAAAAAAAGGAAACUCACCGCUACACACUCGAUUCUUCUUGUUUUUUUUUAAAGAUAUGGGUCAGUAAAAUUUUACGUGGGUUGGGUAGAGUUUAGUUGGAUCCGGGUUUGAUUUGGAGAAAUUAUUGUUUUUGCUUAAUCUAAAUUCCAGCCAAUUAAAGAUUGUCACAUCAUUAAUGAAAAGAUUAAUUAUUACUCAUAAAAAAUCUGUUAAGUGAAAGGGUAAUAUAGGUCCAUAUAGAUGGAUGAAAGGGUAUUUUUGAGCCCAAAGGUGGAUGGAGGGUAUUUUUGUUCCAUUCCCUAUACUUGAAGGGUAUGUUAGGCCCUUCUCCGUAAUAUAUAUUACAUUUUUGAACUGUUAAACUAGAAACAAGAUUUAGGAUUUUUCAAGUGGACCAAAAUACAGAUAUUGAUGCCGAGUACUUAAAGUCUGUUGCUUGCCGAUACUCUAAAAGUAGUAGUGUAUUUUUGGAGAAUCUAACAUGAGUGGAGAGUACACGCGCAACUUAGCUUAAAUUGUGUUGGUCCAAAAGGAAUGCCCCUUGAUACCAUAAACAAAAAAUACCAUGUCAGCUUUUUAUUCAAUAAUAGUACAAAGAUGACUGAUCCAAACAAUUUUAAGCUCAAACACAAUGUUAUAAGAAGACAAGAUACGAACUAAUGUCACAAUAUUACAGGUAAAUCGUUUUUUUUUCUUCCUGUUUUUCAAUUAUUAUCAUUAUAGUAUUUUGUAUUCCAAAUCUUAACGAUACUCAUCCAUUGGUAUGGUAUAGAAGAAGUGUUCAAUUUGCUCGACCUCGCCCUGUGUCUCGUUUCCUCUCUUUAUUGGAGCUAGGCUCUCCUUGUAAUUGAAAACCCAACAGCCAGCAAUGUUAAGGUCCAGGUGAAAUCCAAGAUCUGUAACUUGUCUUGUUUUAGGGUCAUAUCGCACCAGCUGUGAAGUUUCUGUGAUCUCGAAAACCAUCUUAUCAUUAUCCAAGAUGUUGCGAGGCCAAUGAGCAUCUAUAUGAGGUUGUACAGUUAGAACUUUGGACCAAUUUCUGUCUUGUUUCAUUACCCACACAUCGUAUAUGGAUGUCAUUGGUUUACCAGGGUCUCCGGUUAACAUAGCAAGUGAGCCGCCAUGCAAUGUAAGUGUCCCCCAAUGUUCACUUGGAAUAUCUGGGACUUGCAUCUCCCCAAACUGUUCGCUGCCCAUGUCAAAAGAGCGAAUCGUGUAGAUCUCAUCAAGGCCCCUACAAAGCCAAUAAUAAACCCCGUUGAGAUAAGUGGCGUCAAGGGGUGCAGAUAAGGUAGAACUGGGAGGGAAUUCAGGAGUAAGGUAUUUCCAUGAAUUGUUGCAUGAGGAAUAGACACAGGCAUAGACACGAUUAUUAGCACCUUGUCCCAGUUCAUCCCAGAACACUCGAAUCCAUACAACCUUAUAAUCUAGAGUCAACAGGUCAAAUCCCAAUCCGAACUGAUGAUCAUGGUCCGAGAAAAAGUACUCAAUCACAAAAGGCGCAGGAGGCAGAGACCUGAACUCUCUGGUGGCAGGAUUCCACAAACCCAAGCAGACAUUGUAUCCAUAAAACUUCUUCUGCACUAAGAAUAAGCCAUUAACUGGACCAGCAACACACGUGAAAUCAGUGAUCCGAAGCUGAAGGAGAGUUUUUUGUUCAGGGGUCACACCUGGAACAAUUUCUUCAGGGAGCAAGGAGAAUACAACAGACCUUACGAUGGGGUGUACACGUGCUACUUUCAAGAUGCAAACAAGGAGGCGGGCACAAUUAUUCUUGUGAUGAAAAUGUUUUUCUAUGAAACUCGGACUUUUGAUGAGAGCAUACCAGUGCUUGCACACACAUUUGAAACGCAAGAGUGAUUCCACUGGCAAUCUCAAUAGAAUAUCAACUACUAGAUCUUCUGGUAAAGGACGGCGACCAUCCAUACUGGUGGAAAUAUAAGUAGAAUGAGGCAACUUACAAACAUAUUGAAAUAGAAUAGAUCUAGAAAACAUGCAUUAAUAGAACACACAGUGCAACGAAGAAGAUCAAGCAGCAGCAUUACCAAUGUGAAGCAAAAAAGGGGAAGUUACACAUUUGACCACUCGGCCACAAAUAUUUAUAUCCGCAAGCCAAUACACAUAUUAUGGGUAAACAUAUUUUUAAAAAUAUUUUGACAAAAUUUCUUGUAGAUCAAUUUGGGAGAAAAGAUCCAAAAUAGUUCUUUAUGUUUGGCUUCAGACUCAAAGUCAUCCCUUCCCUUUCUUUUAUAUGGUGCACUAAUAGUCCUUUAAGUUUCAAGUGUUAGUGCACUUCUAGUCUCUUGAUUAACAUCCAUUUACUCAUUAACGUUUUGAUCCUUUACACAUCCAUUUAUGGCCUCCGCUGUAUACAUUCUGGUACAAAACAAAUUAAUUCUUAGAUUUAUCUUAGCAAUUGCAGAUGAGUCUUCAUUUGUACUUCGUUUUAUAUUUUGGCUCUGCAUCUUUCAUUGUUUGGUGUGCAGUAUUCAAGAUUUGCUAAUUCUUUAACUUUCUCCUUUAUUUUCGAUACACAAUUAAUAAGCUGACUAAGUCUUUGGGUUUUUCCUGAAUAAAAGUUUCUUGCGCUUUGCCUAUAUAUCUGGAGCAUAACCAAAGAAUAAAUAAAAACAAGAAAAAAGGAAAAAUAUAAUACAUACUUAGUCUUCGUGUAUCAAUAUCUCAAAUUAGCAUCGGAUAAAGGGUGUGUUCCGUAGAAAAUAGUUUCUAAUCAAAAUUUUUGGAAAAGAUUUUCUUAGGAAAACAAGUUCCAUACGUGACACUUCAAAAUUCAAAUGAAGAAAAUGACUUUCUAAAGGAAGUAGGGAAAACAAGUUUCAUAUGUGACAUUUCAAUUGAGUAUGUCCUCCCACUCUCUAAGACACCACAUAUUCACCUCACUCCCGUAGCUUCCAUACCCACUACCCUACACAUCUACCCCACCUCCGUCCCUCAUAGUAUUGUCUAGAUAAUACAUAAAUGCUUUUAGAAUAAUAUUAAAUUUUUUUUGCUUAUAUACCAAACACAAAAUAUACAUAAGAAUCUCACUUAUUUUCCUAGAAAAUAUUUUUCAAAAAAUAUUUUCCUUGGUACCGUACACACCCAAAGUUCCAAUGUCCUCGGAUAAUAUCAGCCAAAUAGAGUCAAUAAGAGGAGACUAGUAAAGAAGUAGUCAUGUGGUUUUCUAGUCUUUUCAUUAACUAGUCAAUAAUUAUUUUUGAGCUACAAAUCAAAUUAGCAUAUAGAGCAAUUUUGCAGGUAAUUUAAGGAGCAUGAAACAGUAAAUACCCUUUUCUGCUAAUAUCAAUCUACAAAUCCUUGGAAAUGGAACAAUUUUAACUUACCCAAUAUUGAAAUGUAAAAGAUGGAAAGAAGUAAAAAGAAUUAGCAUAAACAGAAACAAUGGCAGCAAAACCCUAUAUCCAUCCCCAAACAGCACAAAUUCAGAUUCAGAUUCAAAUUCAAAAUAAUAAUCAGAAAUCUAACCUUAUAAGCUGAUGAAGAAGAAGUGGCGGACAAGGAAAAAAUGGAAAAAGAGAUAUCGGAUCGAUUGAUUGGUGUUGUAGAAAUACCUCAACAGUUGACUACUUCCUCACACUUCUUUCGUCAUUUUAUUUUACUACUUCUUGGGAACGCGUUUGUUCCUCUCCUUUUUUUUUCUCGCGUGUGUUCCUUAUUAUUAUUAAAUUUUUAUAUACUAAAAAGUUGAGUUAUAAAAUAGAAAAUGCUGAAAUUAACAAUAGUAGUUUUAUCAUUUAUAUUUUAUUUACUAAAUAAUAAAAAAUAUAUACUGGAGCAUUUUUUGUUAACCUUCAUUUGUUGUUUCUCACUCUCUUUUCUUCUCAUGUUGAAAUUUGAUUGUGCAAUUACCUUCCUAUGAUAACAUCAAUCUUUGUGAAAUUGGUUCUUAAAAAGCAAAUUCAAAUUUUAAUUUUGGAAGUGUUUUUACAUAAUAGUGGAGAAUGAUUCUUCAUAUUCAACUUUUAAUUUUGAAUUGUAAUGAACAAUUACUAUUCAAAUACAAAUCUAGUUUAUUUUUAACCUUACAUUUAUUGAAUCUUUAAUGUGUACGUUAAUGAUAUAUAAUAAUUUAUUAAUUAGGUAUUUGAUUUAGUGUAGGGGCAAAAUGGUAAUUCAACUAUACACUUUCGAGUUUUCACUUUUAAUAAGUAAUUAUAAUAUAUACAAAAGAUUAAACCAUUUGAUAUUAAAAAAAUAUAUGUAUGAGUAAUAAUUAACAUUCAAUGGCAAAAGAAUGUAUCACAUUCUCAUAAACAAUAUCUCUAAGGCAAAAGUAGACAUUCUAAUUUGGACAAUUACUACUUAACUACUUAUGGGUUCAGCCAAUAAUCUGGAGAUAGGAGUUUGACAAUUUUUCAGCCAUAGUUAAAAUUCUACAUCAAUAAUAAAUAGCUUCUUAUCACAGUAAAUAGACAUUUGAAUAAUUAAUAUAAAUUGAGCAACACAAACUUUUCAAAAUGACUUAUUCUAGAUAUAUAAUAGGGAAAAGGGUCAAAAUUACCCCUCAGUUUUGUUUUAUUGGUUAACUUUAUCCUUACCAUUAAAAACAAGUUAUUUUUACCCCUGUCGUCAAUAAACUUAACAAAUAUACCCCUCCUUGAACGGAAACCCCCAAAUCAAUUGAAAUUACCCGAUUUUAAUUGAAAUUAUCCAAUUUCUUUUUUAACCCGAACUAGAACCCAACCCACUAAACUAAACAAAUUAACCCAUUUCCAAUCUUCUUCAUCUCAGUGUUCUUGGCUAAGUACCCUAAGAACACUCACAAUCUUUAUCAUAGCUAACACAUAAAUCCUACAUUGUCUGACAAAAUCAAUUGAAAAGGUUCGUUGGUUGAAUGUAUAACAAGUAAAUUAUUUUUGCUGAACAACAUCCCGCCUCUCUCUGUUGUGGGGUUCAGCGAAGAACAAGCCACAGAGCAAGUAAAUGGAAAAGUUUCAAUUUACACAUCAUCAUUCAAUCCAAUGAAGAAAACCAUUUCUAGGUACCAACCAAAUUACUUUUUGAUUUGUUGUCAGUAGGCUGCCCCUAAAUGUGUACCCAAUAGUACAUCUAAUUCUUCUUUACCUGGCUCGUAAAUCAAUUCAGUGGCCCUCCAUGAUUCUUGUAUGUGCACGUAAAAUUAAGCUACAAUGGAGGGGAGGUUUUUCUUUUCUCUAUCUUUUUAUUUGUUCAAAAUGUUUCCAAUAUAUCAUCAUAUUUGAUGAGUACUGGAUAUUUGAUGAUUACUGAUUUCUUGUAUGUAGCAAAUCAUGUGAUUGAACGACUGCAGUGUUUAGCCUAGGCAACCUUCAACAAACAAUUUGGAGAUAAAUAUCAGGUCUUUUCGAUUGAUUUUGUUAGACAAUGUAGAAUUUGUGUUAGCUAUGAUAAAGAUUGUGAGUGUUCUUAGGGUACUUAGCCAUGAACACUGAGAUGAAGAAGAUUGGAAAUGGGUUUAUUUGUUUAGUUUAGUGGGUUGGGUUCUGGUUCAGGUUAAAAAAGAAAUUGGAUAAUUUCAAUUAAAAUUGAAUAAUUUCAAUUGAUUUGGGGAUUUCCGUCCAAGGAGGGAUAUAUUUGUUAAGUUUAUUGACGGCAGGGGUAAAAAUAACUUGCUUUUAACGGUAAGAGUAAAAUCAACCAAUAAAAUAAAGUUGAUGGGUAAUUUUGACCCUUUUCUCUAUAUAACAUAUAUGGACAAUUUGAGGAAUGAAUGUUUCAACACAUGAAUAAUAGACUAAUAAGGUCAAUAGAUUAUACAUAUAAAUGAAAAGUUAAAUAAAAAUACAGCCUCAAAAUCACAUACUAUGAUCCAUCAUUUAUCUCCAAUUCGGUGGCCCAGUUUAUUUUAGGGUAUGGAUUCUUUUAUUUUUAAAAAAAAAACAUAUUUGAUUUUUCUCAUUUAGUUAUUCCUCUCCCUACUCAUAAAUAAUAAUCUCGAAAAAAUAUUUUUACUAAAGUAGAACACUCUAUCAAGAGCCAAAUAAACAUAUCAAAUUAACUAAUUAAUCUUUCAUCAAUUAUUGAUAGAACAUGAAUUGUAUAUCACUACUUUCUUCAUGUAGGAUACAAGAUAUUUCAAUAGAAAAACAAAAUCAUAAGAAAGCAUAUCAAAAUAUAAAAAAAGGACAUAUAAAAUACUUUGGCUGGACAAGGAGGAGCGGAUAAAAACAAAAGGAAAUUACUGCACAUACAAAAUGAUGAGCAAGAUUAGUUUUUUGCAGGAUAGUCUCUCAUCCUCCUCUUAUCAUUUACAUGAAAACCAUGCUAGGCAUUUUAUAGCAAUAGCUAGGAUGACCUUUGAGUAGAUAAUUAAUUUGCAUUAAUUUAGUUUAAUGAUUUUAGUCCAUAUCAAAUUUAUUUAAUGGAAAACUCUUCAAAUACUCUUGAUUUUACAGAAAAAGAGAAAUUGACUAUUAAUGUGAAUUUGAUUCAUGUACCAAUUUAAAUGAGUUUAAUCUAAGGAAGUGAAAAAAUCAUUAACAUUUUUAUUAAAACGAUACAAUUUAAUAUUUAAAUUAAAUAGUUAAAUAUUUUAUAACAUUUUAAUUUAUAAUAGGGGUAAAACGGUAAUUCAACUUUUAACUUUUUUUAUUCCCGCUUAUAGUAAUAUAUGAUACAACUCCUCUUAAUUCCUUUUAUCUAAGUUUUUAAUUAUGUGGUGGAGUAAUAAGUACUUAUUCAUUCUUAAUUAGAGGUUCCAGUUUGAGUCUUUUUGGCUAUAAAAUCAUCUCUGUUAGAGCGCUUUACCCAUAAUCUAAGAUUUUUCGACACAAAUUCAAAUUUAGUGAGGCUCUAAUAUGGAUAUCGAACACUGAGGGGAAAAUAAAAAUAAAAAUUACCUUAGGGGUUAUUUGGUAGGUGGAUAAAGCUACAUCUAAUACAUGAAUAACAAAGUUAUUUAUGUAUUUAAUUUAUAUAAUGUUUGUAUAAAAGUUAUUCAUAUAUUAACAAAGAUGUUUCUCUCUACGAUAUGUUCCCACAGGAGAAAGAGUUUGUUACUUGAAGAGGGGGGGGGGGGAUGUUGNNNNNNNNNNNNNNNNNNNNNNNNNNNNNNNNNNNNNNNNNNNNNNNNNNNNNNNNNNNNNNNNNNNNNNNNNNNNNNNNNNNNNNNNNNGAAGGGGGGGGGGGGGUAUUUGGAGUCUUUUAGCCACAGUUCGAAGCCCUGACAUAUCGAUCUCUUUUAGCCACGGUUCAAGGUCCCAACGUAUUUUGUUUUGCCACGGUUCAAGGUCCCGACGUAUUUUAUUUUGCCACGGUUCGAGGCCCCAUCAUAUCUCUAUUCGCCUUGGUUCGAAUCCUAACAUGUGGUUCAUUUGGGUUCUUCGGGGUGCCUUCACCAAAGUUCAAGUCUAGAGUCAGCCAUUUUAAGUUCUUGAAAGCUUUUAAUAUAACUAGUGUUAUUCAUAGUACUUCUGUGUACUUAUCAGGCUUAUGUGAGUCCAAACUCGUUUGAGUUAUUUACUUUCCAAUUGCGCACAGGUAUACAUACUUUCUGGGCUUAUAGGGGUCCAGUUAGGUUAUAGAUAAUUGUUUUACUUUACUACUUUGUUCUUUCCAGACUCGUGAGCUAUAUAGUUAGACUUUCCGUUAUUACUUUGUUCAUUUGACCUCUAAUUACCGUUACAUUCAUAUUUUUCAUAUUGUUUUUACUUUCCAUGCCCAGUCGACCUAUGAUGCUACUGGGCACCUGUUGUUUUGAUAUUAUGCUACACUCCACAUCUGUUUUCUUGAUGUAGAUUUGAGCGCCAGCUGAUAAUGGUGAUUCGAGCCUAAGAAAUGCGGAGAUCUUCUGAGAUGAAGGGUGAGCUGAUGGCAUCCUAGUUCGACUUAUCUCCAUAUGUAUAUAGUUUUUUAAUGUCUUUUGUAUUCGAGACAAGUCUAUUAAGUUAGUGAAUAGCAUAGGCUCGAAACUAUGACUAGAACAUUGAGUGCAUGACAUGCACAUCUUACUCCUUAUUUUCCCUAUUCGUACCUGUUUUUUUCAUACUUUCUAACUUCACUGGUACAUUAUUCCUUGUUAAGGAAAAUUAUGUAAACAACUAGUUCUUUGAUUGAUACAACUAAUUCACAUUAAAUAAUAACUAGAAUCUUAUUACAUUUUUGAACUGUUAAACUAGAAACAAGAUUUAGGAUAAGGGAACUAUUUAUUAACUUCACUUCUCCUUAUUAGUGUCAAAAGUUUCUCGUUUAGGAAAUAUGAAGUUUUGAAGGACUAAUAGUAUAUUAUCCUUUUUUAAAAUUGAACUCUAUCCAAUGGUUGAUUCUAUUUAUGAAUCAAUUCCUUAGGUGCAUUAUUUCCAUAGGUUUCAACAUUGGUAACAAAAUCUAGCUUUCUCGCUUAAAUUGACAUAUUUCUAUACUUCCCUCAUCUUAUCUAUCACUGAGGCCGCUCCCAUCUUAUCCCUUAUAUCCUUAUUUAUAAUUUUUAUCGCUCCGAGUAUGAACGUGCAUCCACCUCAAUAUAUAUUCACAUCUCUGCAACAUGCAUCUUCUAGACAUGGGACUUGACUGGCCAACUCUCAUUUCCAUACAACAAUUACAUACACACUCUAUAUAAAUACACACAUACAUAUAUUGAUGGAAAAAUCAUCAACAGAUGAAACUUAAGCAAUACUCCCUCCAUCUCAAUUAAUGUGACAGUCGGAAUUUUGUCUUUUAAAUUGUUAAUUAUUGUGAUUUACCAUUUUUCACAUAAUUUUCAAAUACAUAAAUUUUAUAUCAAAAAAACUUAAAGUUUCUGUAUCCGAAUUUACUAUUAAAUUAUAGAAGUUUGAAUCUCAAAAUUUCAACUAAUGCCACAUAAAUUAAAUCAACUCCAACACUCAGAAAAGCUACAAAAGUUCAAACAUAGAAAGUAAAAAAAAAUUUAAAAAAGAAAUAGAAAAAACCUUGAGAUAAUAUGUCUUGCUAAUUUCCUCUUCAGAUGCUAAUUAAAGGACUUACACCAAGAACAUCAUAAUACUCUGUGUCUUUCACCAUUUUCUUUUCUUUUUCCAAAAUCCCUAUUAACAAAAAAUUUACUCUUUUACCUCCUCCAAUACUCUAAUUACCUUUUUUUUCGCGCUUCUAAAAUCUUAAUACAAGAGCGAAAAACCACUUGAGUGUAAGGAAAGGAAACAAGCCAAACGAAAAAAAAAAAAAAAACUCUCAAAAUUAUAUGAUCAAGAAAACUUGCAAGUACAAAAGGAGAAAGAGGAGGGGGUGGGUGGGGUAUGAUGAAAAGAAUGUCUCAGAAUAAGAGAGUGCCCCAACGAGACAAAGCUGCCUUUCCAGUUCUGAUCAACAAAUUAAUUACGGAAAAUCUGUUGCUUGUCGAUACUCUAAAAGCAGUGUAUUUUUGGAAUUAAGAGGAGUUGUAUAAACUAAAAUGACAAAAGAAGUGUAGGAAAGUGAGGAAGUAGUCAACUGUUGAGGUAUUUCAACAACACCACUCAAUCAAUCCAAUAUCUCUUUUUCCAUUUUUACCUUGUCGUAAUUGCGGCACUUCUUCUUCAUCAGCUUAUAAGGUUAGAUUUCUGAUUAUUUUUUUGAAUCUGAAUCUGAAUCUGAAUUUGUGCUAUUUGGGGAUGGAUAUAGGGUUUUGCUGCCAUUGUUUCUGUUUAUGCUAAUUUUUUUUAUUUCUUUCCAUCUUUUACAUUUCAAUAUUGGGUAAGUUAAAAUUGUUUCUUUUCCAAGGAUUUGUAUAUUGAUAUUAGUAGAAAAGGGUAAUUACUGUUUCAUGCUCCUUAAAUUACCUGCAAAAUUGUUCUAUAUGCUAACUUGAUAUGUAGCUCAAAAAUACCUAUUGACUAGUUAAUGAAAAGUCUAGAAAACCACAUGACUACUUCUUUACUAGUCUCCUCUUAUUGACUCUAUUUGGCUGAUUAUUGAUCCGUCCAACCCAUUUCAACCCAAAUCGAAAGAAAAAAUCCAAGAUAGUCCUUUAUUUUUGGCUUUAGAUUCGAAAUCAUCAAUUGAUGCACUAAUAGUCCUCCAAAGUUUUAAGUAUUAGUGCACUUUUAUCUGAUGCUAAUUUGAGAUAUUGAUACACGAAGACUAAGUAUGUAUUAUAUUUUUCCUUUUUUCUUGUUUUUAUUUUAUUCUUUGGUUAUGCUCCAGAUAUAUAGGCAAAGCACAAGAAACUUUUAUUCCGGAAAAACCCAAAGACUUAUAGUCAGCUUAUUAAUUGCUUAUGGAAAAUAGAAGAGAAAGUUAAAGAAUUAGCAAAUUUUGAAUGGUGCACACCAAACAUUGAAGAUGCAGAGCCAAAAAAUAAAACAAGUACAAAUGAAGACUCAUCUGCAAUUGCUAAGAUAAAUCUAACAAUUAAUAUGUUUUGUACCAGAACGUAGACAGUGGAGGUUAUAAAUGGGUGUGUAAAGGAUCAAAACGUUAAUGAGUAAAUGGAUGUUAAUGAAGAGACUAAAAAUGCACUGACACUUGAAACUUAAAGAACUAUUAGUGCACUAUAUAAAAGAAAGGGAAGGGAUGACUUUGAGUCUGAAGCCAAACAUAAGGAACUAUUUUGAAUCUUUUCCAAACAAUGUUAAGCUCAAACACAAUGUUAUAAAAAGGUAAGAUAAGAACUAAUGUCACAAUAUUACAGGUAAAUCGUUUUUUUUUCCUGUUUUUCAAUUUUUAUCACUAUAAUAUUCUGUAUGUCAAACUCUAAGAUCCUCAUCCAUUGGUAUGGUAUAGAAGUAGUGUUCAAUUUGCUCGACUGCAUUAUCCUCACCCUGAGUCUCGUUUCCUCUCUUUAUUGGAACUAGGCUCUCCUUGUAAUUGAAAACCCAACAGCCAGAAAAGAUAAGGUCCAGCUGAAAUCCAAGAUCUGUAACUUGUCUUGUUUCAGGGUUAUAUAGCACUAGCUGUGAAGUUUCUGUGAUCUCGAAAACCAUCUUAUCGUUAUCCCAGAUGUUGUAAGGCCAAUGAGCAUCUAUAUGAGGUUGAAGAGUAAGAACUUUGGACCAAUUUCCCCCUUGUUUCAUUACCCACACAUCGUAUAUGGAUGUCAUUGGUUUGCCAGGGUCACCGGUUAAUAUAGCAAGUGAGCCGCCAUGCAAUGUAAGCUUCCCCCAAUGUUCACUUGGAAUAUCUGGGACUUGCAUCUCCCCAAACUGUUCGCUGCCCAUGUCAAAAGAGUGAAUCGUGUAGAUGUCAUCAAGGCCCAUAGAAAGCCCAUAAUAAACCCCGUUGAGAUAAGUGGCGUCAAGGGGUGCAGAUAAGGUAGAACUGGGAGGGAAUUCAGGAGUAAGGUGUUUCCAUGAAUUGUUGCAUGAGGAAUAGACAUAGGCAUAGACACGAUUAUUAGCACCUUGUCCCGGUUCAUCCCAGAACACUCGAAUCCAUACAACCUUAAAAUCUUGAGUCAACAGGUCAAAUCCCAAUCCGAACUGAUGAUCAUGGUUCGGGAAAAAGGCCUCAAUCUCAAUAGGCGCAGGAGGCAGAGACCUGAACUCUCUAGUGGCAGGAUUCCACAAACCCAAGCAGAUAUCGUCUCCAAACUUCUUCUGCACUAAGAAUAAGCGAUCAACUGGACCAGCAAGACACGUGAAAUCAGUGAUCCUCGGAAGCUGAAGGAGAGUUUUUUGUUCAGGGGUCACACCUGGAACAAUUUCUUCAGGGAGCAAGGAGAAUACAACAGACCUUACGAUGGGGAGUACUUCACAUGCUACUUUCAAGUUGCAAACAAGGAGACGGGCACAAUUGUUCUUGUGAUGAAAAUGUUUUUCUAUGAAACUCGAACUUUUGAUGAGAGCAUACUAGUGCUUGCACACACAUUUGAAACACAAGAGUGAUUCCACUGGCAAUCUCAAUAGAAUAUCAACUACUAGAUCUUUUGGUAAAGGACGGCGACCAUCCAUACUAGUGGAAAUAUAAGUAAAAUGAGACAACUUACAAACAUAUUGAAAGAGAACAGAUCUAGAAACAUGCUUUAAUAGAACACGCAGUGCAACGAAGAAGAUCAAGCAGCAUCAUUACCAUGUGAAACAAAAAAGGGGAAGUUGCACAUUUGAUCACUCAGCCACAAAUAUUUACAUCAGCAAGCCAAUACACAUAUAUUAUGGGUAUACAUAUUUUUAAAAAUAUUUUGACAAUUUCUUGUAGAUCAAUUUGGGAGAAAAGAUCCAAAAUAGUUCCUCAUGUUUGGCUUCAGACUCAAAGGAUGGAGUAAUAAGUACUUAUUCAUUGUUAAUUAGAGUUCUCGGGUUUGAGUCUUUUUGGCUAUGAAGUCAUCUGUGUUAGGGAGCGCUUUACCCACAAUGUGAGAUUAUUCAGCACAAAUUCAAAUUUAGUGGGGGAUCUAAUAUGGAUACCAAACACCGAGUGGAAAACCAAAAAUAAAAAUAAAAAUGACCUUAGGGGUCAUUUGAUAGGUGGAUAAAGCUACAUUUAAUACAUGAAUAACAAAGUUAUUUAUGUAUUUAAUUUAUAUAAUAUUUUGUUUGUAAAAUGUUGUAUAAAAGUUAUUCGUGUAUUAACAAAGAUGUUUAUCUCUACGAUAUGUUCCCGCAGGAGAAAGAGUUUGUUAUUUGAAGAGGGGGGGGGGGUAUUUGGAGUCUUUUAGCCACAGUUCGAAGCCCUGGCGUAUCUCUUUUAGCCACGGUUCAAGGCCCCAACAUAUUUUUUUGGCACGGUUCGAGGCCCCAACAUAUCUCUAUUCGCCUUGGUUUGAAUCCUAACAUGUGGUUCAUUUGGGUUCUUCGGGUGCCUUCGCCAUAAUUCAAGUCUGGAGUCGGCCAUUUCAGUUCUUGAAAGCUUUUAAUCUAGCUAAUGUUAUUCAUAGUACUUCCGUGUACUUAUCGGACUUAUGUGAGUCCAAACUUGUUUGAGUUAUAUAUUUACUUUCUAAUUGUGCACGAGUAUACAUACUUUCUGGGCUUAUAGAGGUCCAAUUAGGUUAUAGAUUAUUGCUUUACUUUACUACUUUGUUCUUUUUAGACUCGUGAGCUAUAUAGUUAGACUUUCCGUUAUUGCUUUGUUCAUUUGACCUCUAAUUAUUGUUACUUUCAUAUUCUUCAUAUUGUUUUUACUUUCCAAGCUCAGUCGACCUAUGAUGCCUACUGGGCACCUGUUGUUCUGAUAUUCAUGCUACACUCCACAUCUGCUUUCUUGAUGUAGAUUUGAGCGCCUGCCGACAACAGUGAUUCGAGCCUAAGUAAUGCGGAGAUCUUCUGAGAUGAAGGGUGACCUAAUGGCGUCCUAGUUCGACUUAUCUCCAUAUGUAUAUAAUUUUUUCCUAUCUUUUGUAUUCGAGACAAGUUUAUUAAGUUAGUCAAUAGCAUAGGCUCGAAACUAUGACUAGAACAUUGAGUGCAUGACAUGCACAUCUUACUCCUUAUUUUCCUUAUUCGUACCUAUUUUUGUUCAUACUUUCUAAAUUUCACUAGUACAUUAUCCCUUGUUAAGGAAAAUUAUGUAUCCAGAAUAGUAAAUGGUCUGAUCCACUUAAGAGUGAAGGCUAGUUCAUUGAUUGAUACAUCUAAAUCACAUUAAAUAAUAUAUAUUACAUUUUUGAACUGUUAAACUAGAAACAAGAUUUAGGAUUUUUCAAGUGGACCAAAAUACAGAUAUUGAUGCAGAGUACUUAAAGUCUGUUGCUUGCCGAUACUCUAAAAGUAGUGUAUUUUUGGAGAAUCUAACAUGAGUGGAGAGUACAUGCGCAACUUAGCUUAAAAUGUGUUGGUCCAAAAGGAAUGCCCCUUGAUACCAUAAACAAAAAAUACCAUGUUUGCUUUUUAUUCAAUAAUAGUACAAAGAUGACUGAUCCAAACAAUUUUAAGCUCAAACACAAUGUUAUAAGGUAAGAAAAGAACUAAUGUCACAAUAUUACAGGUAAAUCGUUUUUUUUCUUCUUCCUGUUUUUCAAUUUUUAUCAGUAUAAUAUUAUGUAUUACAAAUCUUUAAGAUCCUCAUCCAUUGGUAUGGUAUAGAAGAAGUGUUCAAUUUGCUCGACUGCAUUAUCCUCACCCUGAGUCUCGUUUCCUCUCUUUAUUGGAGCUAGGCUCUCCUUGUAAUUGAAAACCCAACAGCCAGCCAUGUUAAGGUCCAGCUGAAAUCCAAGAUCUGUAACUUGUCUUGUUUUAGGGUCAUAUAGCACCAGCUGUGAAGUUUCUGUGAUCUCGAAAACCAUCUUAUCGUUAUCCCAGAUGUUGCGAGGCCAAUGAGCAUCUAUAUGAGGUUGUACAGUUAGAACUUUGGACCAAAUUCCCUCUUGUUUCAAUACCCACACAUCAUAUAUGGAUGUCAUAGGUUUGCCUGGGUCACCGGUUAAUAAAGCAAGUGAGUUGCCACGCAGUGUAAGCGUCCCCCAAUGUUCACUUGGAAUAGCUGGGACUUGCGUCUCCCCAAACUGCUCGCUGUCCAUGUCAAAAGUGCGAAUCGUGUAGAUCUCAUCAAG
rnacentral:lncRNA from 1 species